rnacentral:tRNA from 1 species
GCCGCGUUAGUGUAGCUGGUCAAUCAUCUAGGGCUCUCGACCCUUGAACCCGGGUUCAAAUCCCGGACGCGGCA